UGAAGGCAGAGGCAGUAUUUAUUCUGAGUUGUGUUCCUGAUGUAAUAGUAUUUAGAUUACAAUAUUUUCUGUAAUUACUUAGAAAUGACAAUGCAUACUGGGUUAGUGAUAAAUCAGAGGCAAUUUAAAUAAUGUCAUCAGGAAUCGAGCAUAAAUUCUGUGGAUCUCAUCUCAGCCAAUGGGCCAUUGCUUUGAAGGGUGAACAGUGUCUCUAACAGCCAGCAUUGCCCAGGGGAGGUGGGGUGCUGAGGGCCCUAGCUCUGACCCUGGCCUGUGGCGGCCUGUCAUCUCAUCCCGGCAGCUCUGGGUGCAGCUGGCGAGCUCUGGCUGGAGCCUGCAGUACGGAUCAUGCCAAGGGUGCAGUGGAGGCAGGACUGCGGGAUAGACAUGACUCCGGGCAGCAACAGCGAACACUCUGUGUGGCUUCCCUCAUAAAUGCCCCCCAGGACUCAGAAUUCUCACCCCAAAGGAUUUGAGACCGAGUCUGCAAGACACGGAUCGUCCAGAUGAGUGUUUUCCUCUUUUCUCCGCGGCACUGAGGGGCUGAGAAGCAUCUGGAGAUCUCAUGCAACUCUCAAUUUCCCACCACAGCCCCGGCCCCCACUCAGCAUGGCCCAAAAAAGGAGCAAAAAGCAGAAAGCUCAAGGACCCUCAGAAUCAAGUUUUGCAGAAAGACACAAAGCUCAAGAACAGAGGUGCAACUAAGGGAACACACCCUGUAAGACUGCCUCCCAGACACACCACUGCAGCCAGUGAAUUGCACUGUUUAGACUUUGACUUCAGGGUCAGGGUGAGCUGAUGAGACUGGCCCCUUGAUGAAGUAAGAGGCCACCAAGGAGUGAGAGCGGCUGAGUUUGAGCCCUGCCUCUGCCGUCUGCAACUCUCUCAUCUUGAGCAGGUCCAGCCCCAGUGUGGGCCUCAGAUCUCCCAUCCUUGAGAUGAGAGAAUUCAAAUCCAGCUCCACCUCUGCAGCCCACGCCCUUCCCCUGCACUGCAUGGCAUCCGAUAGGCUUGAAGAAGGCGUGAAUGACAUUCAAAGGGCCACAUCAUCUAAGUCGCACUCCUCUCCCAUCCCAUCCCUUGUUGUCCUUUACAUGAUUCCCAUUCAUCUUUCUUCUCUUGGGCCCAGGGGUGUGCUGGUGAAUGUUUAACAGCCACUCCAUGAAAAAAUAAAACGG
rnacentral:lncRNA from 1 species